rnacentral:misc_RNA from 1 species
UCCGGUUUAUCACCGGCAGUUUCCUAAGAGUGCGGCACCCUUGCGGGCACGUGGCAACAUAGGAUAAGGGUUGCGCUCGUUGCGGGACUUAACCCAACAUCUCACGACACGAGCUGACGACAACCAUGCAGCACCUCUACCGGCUCCCUUGCGGGUCAUUCCUGUUUCCAGGUUUUACCACCGGCUCUUCAAGCCCAGGUAAGGUUUUUCGUGUUGCGUCGAAUUAAACCACAUACUCCACCGCUUGUGCGGGCCCCCGUCAAUUCCUUUGAGUUUCAACCUUGCGGCCGUACUCCCCAGGCGGUUCAUUUAAUGCGUUAGCUUCGGCGCGGAAGGGGUCGAUACCCCCCACACCUAAUGAACAUCGUUUACAGCUAGGACUAC